GACGAACGCUGGCGGCGUGCUUAAUACAUGCAAGUCAACUAAGUCUUUUGCAGCAAUGUAAAAGAUUUGGUGGCGCACGGGUGAGUAUAACGUAGGCAAUCUACCAAAAGGUCUGACACAACCUGCCGAAAGGCAGGCUAAUAUCAGAUGAUACAAAAAGCAGGCAUCUGCUCUUUAUCAAAGCUUCGGCGCCUUUUGAUGAGCCUACGCCCCAUAGAUAGUUGGCGGGGUAAUAGCCCACCAAGUCUACGAUGGGUAACUGGUCUGAGAGGAUGAUCAGUCACACUGGAACUGAGACACGGUCCAGACUCCUACGGGAGGCAGCAGUAAGGAAUAUUGCUCAAUGGCCGAAAGGCUGAAGCAGCAACGCCGCGUGAAGGAUGAAA
rnacentral:rRNA from 1 species